rfam:Peptostreptococcaceae bacterium CCRI-22567 contig-3, whole genome shotgun sequence.
GGAUCCUUAGCUCAGCUGGGAGAGCAUCUGCCUUACAAGCAGGGGGUCACAGGUUCGAGCCCUGUAGGGUCCA